CAGCAGCCACGGGAAUACGAAGGGUGCAAGCGUUACUCGGAAUUACUGGGCGUAAAGCGUGCGUAGGUGGUGGUUUAAGUCCGUUGUGAAAGCCCUGGGCUCAACCUGGGAAUUGCAGUGGAUACUGGGUCACUAGAGUGUGGUAGAGGAUAGUGGAAUUUCCGGUUAGCAGUGAAAUGCGUAGAGAUCGGAAGGAACAUCUGUGGCGAAGGCGACUAUCUGGGCCAACACUGACACUGAGGCACGAAAGCGUGGGGAGCAAACAGGAUUAGAUACCCGCGUAGUCCCUGUCUCUUAUACA
rnacentral:rRNA from 1 species